ACAACUCUUAGAGGUGGAUAACUCGGGGUCGUGCGUU
rnacentral:rRNA from 1 species